rnacentral:lncRNA from 1 species
UCAUCAGAGCCUCCACAGGACCAAGGGACUCCCUUCCCCCUCCCCCCAGUGAUGCCAGAUAAGGCCAUCCUUUGCUAUAUAUCCAGCUGGAGUCAUGGGUCGCCCUAUGGACUCUUUGGUUGGUGGUUUAAUCCCUGGGAGCUUUGGGGGGGUCUGAUGGGAGAGCUAUAUGUCUCUUUACCAGAGGUAUGGAAAUGACUGGUUUUGAUAGAAGGGGAACACGUUCACAAGUUCCUGAGGAAUUCUGGCUUUUAUCUAACUGCCAGAAAUUCUCCUAUAGUCUACGCUGAACUCAUUUCUGGAUAGUUGGACUGCCAUUUGGAGUUUCCUAGGGAACUGACAAGCAGGAAGUACACGUGGUUUUUUAUUCUGACUCAGGUGUUUCCCUCAUUGGUUGUGGUCUAAUCUCAGUCUUUCAUGAUUGGCCAAUUAAAAAAAA